rnacentral:rRNA from 1 species
UACGGGGGGGGCAAGCGUUGUUCGGAAUUACUGGGCGUAAAGGGCUCGUAGGCGGCCAACUAAGUCAGACGUGAAAUCCCUCGGCUUAACCGGGGAACUGCGUCUGAUACUGGAUGGCUUGAGUUCGGGAGAGGGAUGCGGAAUUCCAGGUGUAGCGGUGAAAUGCGUAGAUAUUGGGAAGAACACCGGUGGCGAAGGCGGCGCUCUGGACCGAGACUGACGCUGAGGCGCGAAAGCCAGGGGAGCAAACGGG